UACGGAGGGUGCGAGCGUUGCCCGGAAUCACUGGGCGUAAAGGGCGCGUAGGCGGUUCGUUAAGUUGCUGGUGAAAUCCCGGGGCUCAACUCCGGGGCUGCCGGCAAGACUGGCGGGCUAGAGCACGGUAGAGGCGGAUGGAAUUCCCGGUGUAGCGGUGGAAUGCGUAGAGAUCGGGAAGAACAUCGGUGGCGAAGGCGGCCUGCUGGGCUCUUGCUGACACUGAUGCGCGACAGCGUGGGGAGCAAACAGG
rnacentral:rRNA from 1 species